ACUUUAAAGCACUAUGUCUGAGCAGGUUUGUUUGUUUUUGUUUUUGCACCAGUGCUGUCCCUGUGAAAACCCACUCUUUAAUGCUGAAUCGGAACAAAUGGCAAUCCAGGUUUUCUUGGAUUGCCAUUUGCUCAAAUUCAGUGGUAAAGAACGGGGCUUCAUGGGGAAAGGGCUGGGGCAAAAAAACAAAAAAAAAUGCUUCGAUGUGGCGCUCUAAAGC